rnacentral:rRNA from 1 species
ACUAAGCGGAGGAAAAGAAACUAACAAGGAUUCCCACAGUAGAGGCGAUCGAAGUGGGAGAAGCCCAUGCCGAAUCCGGUAGCAUUUGUUAUUCGGAAAUGUGGUGUUAAGGACAUGCAGUAUGUCUUUGCUGUCACUCUAAGUCCAUAUGAUUGUGGUAUCUAGCCCACAGAAGGUGUAAGGCCUGUAAGAGUGAUGGCUUAGGCUUUUUGUAUGUCUAUAGAGUCGGGUUGUUCGAGCUUGCAGCCCAAAUAUGGUGGUAUGCUCCAUCUAAGGCUAAAUACAACAGGAGUCCGAUAGUGAACAAGUACCGUGAGGGAAAGUUGAAAAGAACUUUGAAGAGAGAGUUCAAUAGUGCGUGAAACGGCUCAGAGGUAAACGGAUGUAGUCAAAGAUGGCUGCGUAAAUUAGCGCUUUCGGCGUGCCCUUCAUGUUCUUCUAGAUUUAAUGUGACUAGGGGAUGUGGUGGUGUGCGUCGAUUGUGUUGUCUUUGCGUAGCCUUUACCACGUUCAGUGACAUAACCAGUCUCUCUUUGGCGAUAAGGUAGCCGGAUCCUCUGGAUUCGGUGUUAUAGAUGCUGAAGGAGUUCGGGUGAAACACUGUGUAUAGCGAUGCAAGCCACUUCGGUGGUGCAUAAGUUAGUCUGCUUUGGUGUAGCGCUUUGUUGACUUGUUAAGUUGAUAGAGUGUUAUGCUGGAGUGAUUCUAACCACUGUGCUUUGUGUCAAUAAACUGUGGUGCAAUGUAGAUAGUACAUCCGACCCGUCUUGAAACACGGACCAAGGAGUUUAGCAUAUGCGCGAGUCAAAGAGCAAUACGAAACUCUACGGCGCAUUGAAAGAGAAGACCUCCUCUGGAGGUUGAGGUGUGAUCCUGACUUGUUAAAUACGGUUAGGCGCAACACCGCCUUGUCUCAUGUAUUUUAUACGUGGCAAAGGAAGAGCGCAUAUGCUGAGACCCGAAAGAUGGUGAACUAUGCCUGCGCAGGUUGAAGCCAGAGGAAACUCUGGUGGAGGGCCGUAGCGAUUCUAACGUGCAAAUUGAUCGUAUGACGUGGGUAUAGGGGCGAAAGACUAAUCGAACCAUCUAGUAGCUGGUUCCCUCCGAAGUUUCCCUCAGGAUAGCUGGCACUCGGGAAACAAAUAGUUUCUAAUCCGGUAAAGCGAAUGAUUAGAGGUAUUGGGGACUAAUUGUCCUCAACCUAUUCUCAAACUUUAAAUGGGUGAGAAGUCUAACUCGUUUAAAUAGAGUUAGGCAUUGAAUAUGAGUGCCAAGUGGGCCAUUUUUGGUAAGCAGAACUGGCGCUGCGGGAUGAACCGAACGUGUGGUUAAGGUGCCAAAUACGAUGCUCAUGAGAUACCACAAAAGGUGUUGGUUGAUUUAGACAGCAGGACGGUGGCCAUGGAAGUUGGAAUCCGCUAAGGAGUGUGUAACAACUCACCUGCCGAAUCAACCAGCCCUGAAAAUGGAUGGCGCUGGAGCAUUGAACCUAUACCACACCAGCACAGCAUGCCGCGCUAGGAAGCUGUGCAGAGUAGGAGGGCGACGUGGUAAGCAUAGAAGCUGUGGUCGUGAGACCAGGUGGAGCUGCCACGUGUGCAGAUCUUGGUGGUAGUAGCAAAUACUCAAGUGAGAACCUUGAGGGCUGAAGUGGAGAAGG